rnacentral:rRNA from 1 species
ACUCCUACGGGAGGCAGCAGUGGGGAAUAUUGCACAAUGGGCGCAAGCCUGAUGCAGCAACGCCGCGUGAGGGAUGACGGCCUUCGGGUUGUAAACCUCUUUUAGCAGGGAAGAAGCGAAAGUGACGGUACCUGCAGAAAAAGCGCCGGCUAAACUACGUGCCAGCAGCCGCGGUAAUACGUAGGGCGCAAGCGUUAUCCGGAAUUAUUGGGCGUAAAGAGCUCGUAGGCGGUUUGUCGCGUCUGCUGUGAAAUCCCGAGGCUCAACCUCGGGUCUGCAGUGGGUACGGGCAGACUAGAGUGCGGUAGGGGAGAUUGGAAUUCCUGGUGUAGCGGUGGAAUGCGCAGAUAUCAGGAGGAACACCGAUGGCGAAGGCAGAUCUCUGGGCCGUAACUGACGCUGAGGAGCGAAAGGGUGGGGAGCAAACAGGCUUAGAUACCCUGGUAGGAUAGCG